AACGAACGCUGGCGGCAGGCCUAACACAUGCAAGUCGAGCGAGGACUUCGGUUCUAGCGGCGGACGGGUGAGUAACGCGUGGGAAUGUGCCCUUCUCUACGGAAUAGCCCUGGGAAACUGGGAGUAAUACCGUAUACGCCCUAUUGGGGAAAGAUUUAUCGGAGAAGGAUCAGCCCGCGUUGGAUUAGGUAGUUGGUGGGGUAAUGGCCUACCAAGCCGACGAUCCAUAGCUGGUUUGAGAGGAUGAUCAGCCACACUGGGACUGAGACACGGCCCAGACUCCUACGGGAGGCAGCAGGUGGGAAUCUUAGACAAUGGGGGCAACCCUGAUCUAGCCAUGCCGCGUGAGUGAUGAAGGCCUUAGGGUUGUAAAGCUCUUUCAGCUGGGAAGAUAAUGACGGUACCAGCAGAAGAAGCCCCGGCUAACUCCGUG
rnacentral:rRNA from 1 species